rnacentral:rRNA from 1 species
GACGAACGCUGGCGGCGCGCUUAACACAUGCAAGUCGAACGGAAAGGCCUGCUUUCCCUUGUGGAUUGCGGGUACUCGAGUGGCGAACGGGUGAGUAACACGUGAGUGAUCUGCCCCCAACUUGGGUAUAAGCCUGGGAAACUGGGUCUAAUUCCCGAUAGGACUGCAGGGUGGUGCCCGUGGUGGAAAACGAUUUUCUAGUGGUUGGGGAUGAGCUCGCGGCCUAUCAGCUUGUUGGUGGGGUAAUGGCCUACCAAGGCGGCGACGGGUAGCCGGCCUGGGAGGGUGGACGGCCACAUUGGGACUGAGAUACGGCCCAGACUCCUACGGGAGGCAGCAGUGGGGAAUAUUGCACAAUGGGCGGAAGCCUGAUGCAGCGACGCCGCGUGGGGGAUGACGGCCUUCGGGUUGUAAACUCCUUUCGACCGCGAGGAAGCCACCUGGUUGGAAGGGUGGUGACGGUAGUGGUAGAAGAAGCACCGGCUAACUACGUG